rnacentral:lncRNA from 1 species
UCAGAAGAAUUGGUUUUGCUUUGGAUUUGAAAGCAUACAAUCCAGUCCACCAUGGCAGAGAAGGCAGGGAAAUGCGAGGAGGCUGAAAACAUGGCAUCUGCAAGGUGGAGUCAGAACAGGGUCCAUAAAAGUCACCACUGAAAACAAAAAGUACAAAGCAGUCAGGACAAAGGGCUGAAUGCCAUCAAACCAAAACGGAAUGUAAGCCACCAAGGUAAGCCUCCUGGCAAACAAUAUGUGUGAAUAUAUGCUCAUCCUUAGAGCACAUUCUUGUUGAACUAACAAUGUAACCCAAUAAAUAAAAGACCUCAUAUUAUUCAGACACCGUAAUAAUUUUUCUCUGGUCCAUCUACCAUGGCUGACAUGUCACUGGCACUGACAUUUCCAGAAGUGAAAGAUACUCAACUAUUUUAACCUUCUGGUUCCU